CUAUUUAAACAAGCCAGUGCAGCCCAACUAAAAGCUUUCCAGCAAAUUUACCCUUGGUGGUACAAACUCCUGACAUUUCAGAUAGCUAACUCUGCUCAUUCAGGGAGAAAGGUCACAAGAGGCUUGACUUGACAAACAGAAAAUAAAACCUCAAAGUUAACUUGAAAACUAAAGAUAAAGCAUUCUAGAAAUCUAAGCUUCAUCAGCAAGUUGUUUUAUGAUUUGCAAUCCACAUCAGAACUGAAACUGCUUUUAUAAGGAUUUUUUAAAACAAAUAUAAUACUCAAAUUUGGAAAAAAUGUUAAAUACUGAUUCUGCAGGAA
rnacentral:lncRNA from 1 species